UACAUAGGGUGCAAGCGUUGUCCGGAAUUAUUGGGCGUAAAGAGCUCGUAGGUGGUUCGUCACGUCGGAUGUGAAACUCUGGGGCUUAACCCCAGACCUGCAUUCGAUACGGGCGAGCUUGAGUAUGGUAGGGGAGUCUGGAAUUCCUGGUGUAGCGGUGGAAUGCGCAGAUAUCAGGAGGAACACCAAUGGCGAAGGCAGGUCUCUGGGCCAAUACUGACACUGAGGAGCGAAAGUCUGGGGAGCGAACAGG
rnacentral:rRNA from 1 species